GGAAGGAUCAUUAAAAGAGUACGGGGCUCGCCCCCGACGCUCCAACCCCAUGAGUAUACUCCUUCGUUGCUUCGGCGGGUCGACGUCCGUUGUCGCCGGCGAGUUUCGCCGGAAAGCACCCGCCGAAGGACCCUUCAAAACCUGCUUAUCCGUGUCGUCUGAAGUUAUCGUUAAAAAAGUCAAAACUUUCAACAACGGAUCUCUUGGUUCUGGCAUCGAUGAAGAGCGCAGCGAAAUGCGAUAAGUAAUGUGAAUUGCAGAAUUCAGUGAAUCAUCGAAUCCUUGAACGCACAUUGCGCCCCCGGGCAAUCCUGGGGGCACACCUGUUCGAGCGUCAUCGCACACCUCAAGCUUAGCUUGGUGUUGGGCCGUACGUCCCCCCCGUUCGGGCGGGACGCGCCCGAAAGCGAUGGGCGACGGCGCCUGGCUUCGAGCGUGAUAGAGGUCUUCAAUAACCCUUCGCUUUGGAAGUCCAGGUUUCGGCAGCCUUAGAAACCCGAUAUUUUUCCACGGUUUGGCCUCGGAUCAGGUGGGGUUACCCGCUGAACUUAAGCAUAUCAAUAAGCGGAGGAAAAGAAACCAACAGGGAUUGCCUUAGUAACGGCGAGUGAAGCGGCAACAGCUCAGAUUUGAAAUCUGGCUCCUUCGGAGCCCGAGUUGUAAUCUGCAGGGGAUGCUUCCGCGGCGGACCCGGCCUAAGUUCCUUGGAACAGGACGUCAUAGAGGGUGAGAAUCCCGUAUGCGGCCGGUGGACGUCUCUUCGGUGAAGCUCCUCCGACGAGUCGAGUUGUUUGGGAAUGCAGCUCUAAAUGGGAGGUAAAUUUCUUCUAAGGCUAAAUACCGGCCAGAGACCGAUAGCGCACAAGUAGAGUGAUCGAAAGAUGAAAAGCACUUUGGAAAGAGAGUUAAAGAGUACGUGAAAUUGUUGAAAGGGAAGCGCUUGCAACCAGACUUGGCCGCAGUUGUUCAACCGUCUUCGUGGGCGGCUCACUCUUCUGCGGCCAGGCCAGCAUCGGUUCGGGCGGCCGGAAAAAGGUCCCGGGAACGUAGCUCCCCUCGGGGAGUGUUAUAGCCUAGGACGAAAUACGACCUGCUCGGACCGAGGACCGCGCUUCGGCUAGGAUGCUGGCGUAAUGGUUGUAAGCGGCCCGUCUUGAAACACGGACCAAGGAGUCUAACAUCUAUGCGAGUGUUCGGGUGUCAAACCCGUGCGCGCAAUGAAAGUGAACGGAGGUGGGAACCCUCGGGUGCACCAUCGACCGAUCCUGAUGUCUUCGGAUGGAUUUGAGUACGAGCAUAGCUGUUGGGACCCGAAAGAUGGUGAACUAUGCCUGAAUAGGGUGAAGCCAGAGGAAACUCUGGUGGAGGCUCGCAGCGGUUCUGACGUGCAAAUCGAUCGUCAAAUUUGGGUAUAGGGGCGAAAGACUAAUCGAACCAUCUAGUAGCUGGUUCCUGC
rnacentral:misc_RNA from 1 species